ensembl:lncRNA
CAUAUUUGAGCCCUUUUACCUAAUGUCAUCAAGGCAUGUUUCCAGAAUCCCAUGCCAGGUACCCCAGCACCAGCCCUGCCGUGCCCUUGCAUGAAGUGGCCGCUCCGUUCUUGGCCUGGGGGGAGGGAUGGUCGGGUGUCGAACUGGCUGCUGCUUCCUUACAGAGCAGCCCACAAGACAGGCUUUCCAAUAAAGCAAGAUAGAGACAAGUUAAAGCCGUAACAAGAAGCAAACCCAAGUCUUCCAAGGGAGCCCCUCAGACACGCUCCCCCCCAUGCUCAGCUGCGGGCCUCAAACCACUGUGUUUCUGUCUGGCCGAAGUGUGUGCUGAUGCUGCUCAGCGCCAUGCCACUGCCUCGUGGGAGUGAGCAUGUCCCAGGGAUGGACUGCUGUCUGCACACCACUUUGGUUUAAUUCUCCCAUUUCCUAACUGAUACACAAAAUCAUUUCUUAAAUAACGUCAUUUUUACAUUUAGAAGAGUUAAGAUACUGAUUUUUCUGCUCAGUCCAUUGGCUGUGGAAUCACUGAGUGAUGCAAGGCAGCUGUUCCUGCACUUUCAAAGUGCUAUUGCUGAGAACUGUGUACAUACAAAGGCAUAAAUAAACCUGCACUAGGAAGAAAGAACGUGGCAGAAACAGUAGAGAUCCUGGGAUGUGUGUUCAAGGCAAAGACAAGGACUUUCUGAAGAUAUGACAGAACACCAUGGCUCUCCUCUCCACCAACGAAGGACUCAACAAUCCAAUGCGGUCAAUUCCCUCGGGAAAGAGAGGCUGAAAAAAAUCAAUAUGCCAUCGCAAAGGAAGCAGAGGUGUUCUUGUCUCGUCUAACAGAGGAAGGAGAACCAUCUGAGAAAUGGGAGCCUAUCUUGUCCUGCUGAAACAAAAGAGUUGAUGUAUCUUUCUGGAUGUGGAAGGUGCUCAUCAGAAGCACUGGAACCACUUGGAGCAGAUGACAAGUUUUGAAGGUCACAUGUUGGUGGAUCACAAAUUCACUCAGUCCAGUAGACAGAGACACAGCUAAAGCUGAACUUCAGCAGCUACUCCAAGAAAAAAGCCUUUAAGUUUCUGAAGAUCCACAGCCACAAGUGAAUGCCAGCACUGAGAUGGAGAAACCAGCCUGGCCAAGAGCCCUCCGCCCCAGGCCAUUACAGGAAGCUGUCGGCUUGCAGAAGGACCUGGGAAAUGAUGGUAGUGAUGACAGGAAAGAGAAGAGCUCCUGGUUAUUCUGUGCUCUCUAGUCAUCCACCCCGCCAUGGCCAUGGCCCUGCUCUCAGCUGAGCAAAGCGCUUCUGCAGAGCUGAGUCGCAGCAGAAGCCACAGCACUGUUCAGGAGGAGGUAAGAAACCAGGAUGCGUAGGCUUCCUCCAGAAGGCAGGGCUUUCUUUCCCUAGAUCUAUUUUGCCUUUGAAGCUGCAGUGCUCUCUCCGUGUUUUUGGAGGAGAUGGAAUAGAUUUAAAAAGUGGCUGCUUAUCGAUUUAUGGUCUUUAUGCUGGACAUGGCUUUUUAUUAAGGAAAGCAGAUACUCAAUACUGUUAACUAGUAAUGGGAAUUGACUUUUCACUAAUUGCACAGAACCUGGCAUUAAUACACUUUAAUAGAAAAUGGGUCUGUGCGCUCUGGAUCAAUCCUGAAGUUUUUUCUGCCUGCACUACGGACAAAGGACUCCAGCAACAGCAACGUAGUUAAAUGAGAUGCUUCAUUUUUUUAUUUAUCUACCAUCCAUCCAAUUACUGAGAUAAGCACACAUCUCCAGGGGAUGAGGGAAGGCUGUAGCUUGGCUGCUCAUCCUGUCUGUCCUGCAGGGACCAUCCCUUCCCGUGUGGCUGUGAUGCAGUACACCACCCGGCUCCCAGGGCUGGUCCUGCACCAGGCAGAUUGCCACUGGCUUUAAGGCCCUGAGCACAUGGCUUGGAGCAGCCUCACCCUGUUGCCAUCCCUCAGGCUGCGAUCAGCUCUCCUGUUGGCCAGAUUAGCCUCCUCUGUGGCCAGCAGGAUAACAGCAGGCCCCGUGGUGUUGUAGGCGCCAGCAAUGACACUGGGACUGACAAAGGGCAAUGCUAAUUAAAGCUUCAUGCUAGUUAAUGAUGGAUACUUAUGUCGUGUGAAAAUCAUUUUUAGCUCCCCGCAGUUGGCUCAGCUUGACUCUUGCUGCUGCCUGCCUCUGUCAGGAAAACCCUGCUGUUAGCUGGGCCCAGCAGCACCACGUUUCUUUCCCUCUGAAUCAACUCUGUGAAAGGAAAGCCAAAGUUUUGCAAACCUCUCUCUCAUCACAGCACCACUGUGAUUGGUUCUGAUGGCUACAUCUGGUUGUAGGGAGCCAUCUGUAUUUGUCCUCCAUCAUGAAGCGUAGUUUAAUGUACGUGUAGCCACUCUACUAGCAGUGCCAAAAAGUUGCUUCUGAUACCUGUUGAUGUACAGAGUAAGCUGCCCCACAGGAAUAUUUUAUUCAGUAAGACAGGACUCGAAGAUGAAAGGGCAACCACUUCUGAUCAUAACCUUGGCUUUGUCUUUCUAGUAAUUAUACUUUAAUUGCAUUGCCCGCUUUGAAAUAGAAUGGUAAUUGGAAAAAAAAAAAAAAACAAUUUGCCAUUCUCUGAUGCGUACUCUUGACAUGCUUUAUUUGUUUUUUAUUCAAACAUAAAUAUUCUCUGUAACACUAUCAAAAAAAGAGAAAAAUAUAGCAAAAUUGAAAUGUCAGUAUCAAUUUCUUACACGUGAAAAGCAUCAUCAACUUGUGCUGGUUGGUGGGCAAGGAAGGGGUUUCAGUUCAACUCAACAGAAAUCCAGUUGUGACAUGAGCAGAGUUGGAGAAGAGGAAGGAUGUAAGAGGGAAAGGACCUCAGCCCCAGCCCUUCAGGAGAGCUGGCUGUUGCACAUGGCAGUAUCAAAAUAUCGUAUCUGCAACCAGCUGUAAUUGUGUGAUAAAUGGGCCUUUCAGAUCACAUGGAAACAGAAGAUGCAGAAAGAUAAUUUCAAAUCUUACUGCUCACCAUCAAAUAAUUGCUAGGGUCAAUAUAAGUCAAUGAAACACAGGUUUCCUUCAGUUGUACUCUGUAGAGCACAGCUAUAGAAAAGCGUCUUUGCGUCUUCCUUCUUAACUGCUCUCAGGAGGAUCUAAGAGAAUCUACUCUGGUGGCAGCUUAUACCUCAUAAUUUGCAUCUGAUGUUUCUGAGAGCUGAGCUCCAGCCAGCCUGGUGGUCACACUGCAUGCAAGGAGAGCUGGGGCUCAGUGCAUGGCUCCAUGCCGGGAGAGGUACCUGGCGGCACCCAGUGUGCUGCAGUUCACACACACACGGAGUAGGAGAAGCUGCUGACAUCUUCUGCAGCAAUUCUUUUGAUGGAUUUCCUUUGUCAGCAGCCCUGCAUUCUCAUUUGCUCCAAAAAAGAUCCAGCCCAGUGUUAGUUCAGAGAGUCAGCAGUUCACAGGCAAGAAAUUAACACAGGGAGUCAUAAACCAGAGGUGGCUGGCAUAGAUGAGGCUGGAUAAAUUAUACCUGUUUUACUUUAAUUUUUUUAUAAAAGCAAAACCAGAACUGAAACACAACAGUCGGAACAAAACCUCCCUUGGUGAAAAAUGGAUUUUUGGGGUUGCCUGCAGACAUAACCAACUUUUGUUAGUAUUAAUUAAUUCCACUGUGCUUUGUACCCAGCUAGUUUGUUAUGACCAGAACAACUUGCUAUUGCCAGAGAAAUAUACAGACACACAGGCUGACAGAACAGCGUAGUGAGAGCUGGGAGUCCCUUGGUGAAGGUCUGAGCACCUUGUACAACUUAGGAGCCUGACUUGAUGUGUGGAACACCACAUAAGUGCAUUUAACUGACUGAUAACUCUAAUGUUCUCUUCUGUAGAGACUGAGCUCUCUGAAACUCCCCGGAAGUGGCACAAAGAUAAUAACUGAGAACUAAACUGAAAUAUCAUCAUUGAUUAAUAAGGUAACCAUUACAAAGAGCUGGGUGUCAGGAGAAGGGUUAAAGCAGCACUGAAGUCAGCUGGUAGGAUGCAGCCCCGGUGAUGGGAAACUCCCAGGAGAGUCAUCUGCCAGAGCCAUUAGAUGUUAUAAAACAUAAGGAAAAGUGCAACUUGGAGCUUUGCUUGCGCUGAUGUUAUUUUGUGGGGAGAAAAUUCAUUCUCUUGAAUAUGUCUGGACUCUCAGGUCCACAGUAAUAAUGUGCUAGAACAAAAAAAAUACUUAAUUUAGGAAAUUUGUUACAUUAUCAAAGACCUGUAAAACCUGAUUUUCUACCUUUAAGCACAGUAGCUGCGUUACUCAAAUUGCUAUGUAGAGCCCUUAUAUAUAUACACCAAAUUAUGAUGCUUAUUUCUUCUCUAUGUGGGCUGGACUCCGGAGAACAUGUUUUGAUCCUUUGUAGUGAAUACUAAAUUGUAAAAGUAACUGUAGAGUUGUGUUGUUCUCCACUUAACAAACUAAUAGUAAGCAACAUAUAUAGGGCAGGGGGAGAAGCUUUUAUAAAGACCAAAAAGAAAACAUAUUUAAAAGUAAGUGCUAAUCUUGUACUUCAGUCUGCUGUAUCUCAGCCUCACGGUCAUGGUGGUGCCUGACGUGCCUUGGACCUAAGCCUUGAAUCUGUCC